CGGGUUGUAUACAUCCGCAAUGAACAGCAGUCCGAGGGGGCUCUAGGAUACUGAUGCAAAUGGAUAACUAGUAUCACAUGUUCAUAGAACUGCAUCAGCUUGAUGUUGAGAAUAAAUAAAGAGAGAGCUUCUAUGGCGUUUUUGUAGGACAUGGUUGUUUAUAACCUAUUAUAAACAAAUCACAGGAUCUCUCUGUACUUUGCGCCAAUCGUCUCCCUGUCCCUGCCACUGAAAAACAUCCCCAAAGCAUAAUGCCUCAACCACCAUGCUUCACCGUAGGGAUGGUGCCAGGUUUCCUCCAAACGUGAUGCUUAACAUUCAGGCCGAAGAUGGUUAUUCUUCUGGAAGGUUCUCCCAUCUCCACAGAGGAACUCCAGAACUCUGUCAGAAUGACCAUCAAAGGUUAUUGGUCACCUCCCUGACCAAGGCUCUUCUUCCCAAUUGCUCAGUUUGGCCGGGCGGCCAGCUCUAGGAAGAGUCUUGGUGGUUCCAAACUUCUUCCAUUUAAGAAUGAUUGAAGCCACUUGAGGACUUUCAAUGUUGCAGAACUUUUUUGGUACUCUUCUCCAGAUCUGUGACUCGACACAAUCCUGUCUUGGAGCUCGACGGACAAUUCCUUCGACCUCAUGGCUUGUUUUUUGCUCUGACAUGCACUGCCAACUGUGGGACCUCAUAUAGACAGGUGUGUGCCUUUCCAAAUCAUGUCCAAUUAAUUUAAUUUUCUUAAAGUUGUAAAAACAUAAAGGAUAUUCAGUGGAAGCAGGAUGUACCUGAGCUCAUUUUCGAGUCUCAUAUAGCAAAGGGUUUGAAUACUUAUGUAAAUAAGGUAUUUCUGUUUUUUAUUUGUACUAAAAUUGCAAAAAAUUCUUAAAACCUGGUUUCGCUUUGUCAUUAUGGGGUAUUGUUUGUGGAUUGAUGAUGAAACACAUGUAUUUAAUCCAUUUGAGAAUAAGUCUGUAAUGUAACACCAUGUGGACAAAGGGAAAGGGUCUGAAUACUUUCCGAAUGCUCUGUGUCCAGGUAACUGCCAAAAUAAAGGAAACACUUGAGUACAUUUUUUCAAAAUAAAAAAAAAUAAAAGUUACCUUUAUUUAACUAGGCAAAUCAGUUAAGAACAAAUUCUUAAUUACAGCCUACACCAGCCAAACACAGAUGAUGCUGGACCAAUUGUGCGCCGCCUUAUGGGACACCCAAUCACAGCCAGUUAAGAUACAGCCUGGAAUCGAACCAGGGUGUCUGUAGGGACACCUCAAGCGCUGAGAUGCAUUGCCUUAGACCCCUGCGCCACUCGGGAGUAUAUUGAGAGUAUAUCGAAAGCAGGUGCUUCCACGUAAGUGUGGUUCCUGAGAUAAGUAAGCAAAUAAACAUCCCAUAAUGCUGGUUAGGCCAUUAUUUUGGCUACGAUGGCUAUGCCCCCAUAGGGUGAUAAUGCCCCCACCCACAGGUCACUGAAUGGUUUGAUGAACAUGAAAAUGAUGUAAACCAUAUGCCAUCUCGUAGCCACAAGAACCCAAUUGAACACGUAUGGGAGAUUCUGAAGUGGCGAGUAUUUUCCACCACCAUCAACAAAACACCAAGUGAUGGGAUUUCUAGUUGAAGAAUGGUGUCACAUCCCUCCAAUAGAGUUCCAGACACUUGUAGAUUGAAUGCUAAGGUGCACGGAAGCUGUUCUAUCUGCUGGUGGGCCAUCUCCCUAUUAAGACACUUGGUGUUGGUGUUUCCUUUAUUUUGGCAGUUACCUGUAUAUAGAAGGACUAUUUGGAAAAAUGACUUCCAGACUGGGAGCUGCAGCAGAACCAGAUGGAGAUGGAGAGGGAGAGAGGAGGGGGGAGAGAUGGAGAGAGAGAGAGAGCGAGAGAGG
ensembl:lncRNA